CCCAUAGGCUACGGAUACUGGAAUGUUCUGUAGUCAAAAGAUUUAUCGCCACAGGAUGGGUCUGCGGCCGAUUAGGUAGUUGUUGGGGUAAAGGCCCAACAAGCCUUUGAUCGGUACGGGUUGUGGGAGCAAGAGCCCGGAGAUGGAUUCUGAGACACGAAUCCAGGCCCUACGUGGCGCAGCAGGCGCGAAAACUUUACAAUGCGGGAAACCGUGAUAAGGGAACUCCGAGUGUCCGCAAAUUCGGACUGUCCGUAUGUUUAAAAAGCAUACGAAGAAAGGGCCGGGCAAGACCGGUGCCAGCCGCCGCGGUAAUACCGGCGGCUCGAGUGGUGGCCACUAUUACUGGGCUUAAAGCGUUCGUAGCUUGGUUGUUAAGUCUCUUGGGAAAUCUAUCGGCUUAACCGAUAGGCGUCCAGGGGAUACUGGCAAUCUAGGGACCGGGAGAGGUGAGGGGUACUUCAGGGGUAGGAGUGAAAUCCUGUAAUCCUUGGGGGACCACCUGUGGCGAAGGCGCCUCACCAGAACGGCUCCGACAGUGAGGGACGAAAGCUGGGGGAGCAAACCGGAUUAGAUACCCGGGUAGUCCCAGCCGUAAACGAUGCACGUUAGGUGUAUCGAUGACCACGAGUCAUCGAGGUGCCGAAGGGAAACCGUGAAACGUGCCGCCUGGGAAGUACGGUCGCAAGGCUGAAACUUAAAGGAAUUGGCGGGGGAGCACAAUC
rnacentral:rRNA from 1 species